rnacentral:rRNA from 1 species
CGGCGGCCGUAACUAUAACGGUCCUAAGGUAGCGAAAUUCCUUGUCGGGUAAGUUCCGACCUGCACGAAUGGCAUAACGAUGGCCACACUGUCUCCUCCCGAGACUCAGUGAAGUUGAAAUGUUUGUGAUGAUGCAAUCUACCCGCGGCUAGACGGAAAGACCCCAUGAACCUUUACUGCAGCUUUGCAUUGAACUGUGAACCGAUUUGUGUAGGAUAGGUGGGAGGCAGAGAAGAGGCCACGCCAGUGGUCUUGGAGCCGACCUUGAAAUACCACCCUGAUUUGUUUGCGGUUCUAACCACGGACAGUGAUCCUGUCUUGGGACCGUGCAUGGUAGGCAGUUUGACUGGGGCGGUCUCCUCCUAAAGGGUAACGGAGGAGUACGAAGGUACGCUAGGUACGGUCGGAAAUCGUGCUGAUAGUGCAAUGGCAAAAGCGUGCUUGACUGCGAGAGCAACAACUCGAGCAGAUGCGAAAGCAGGUCAUAGUGAUCCGGUGGCUCUGAAUGGAAGGGCCAUCGCUCAACGGAUAAAAGGUACUCUGGGGAUAACAGGCUGAUACCGCCCAAGAGUUCAUAUCGACGGCGGUGUUUGGCACCUCGAUGUCGGCUCAUCUCAUCCUGGGGCUGUAGUCGGUCCCAAGGGUAUGGCUGUUCGCCAUUUAAAGAGGUACGUGAGCUGGGUUUAAAACGUCGUGAGACAGUUUGGUCCCUAUCUGCCGUGGGCGUUGGAAGAUUGACGGGGGCUGCUCCUAGUACGAGAGGACCGGAGUGGACGCACCUCUGGUGUACCGGUUGUCACGCCAGUGGCAUUGCCGGGUAGCUAAGUGCGGAAGAGAUAACCGCUGAAAGCAUCUAAGCGGGAAACUUGCCUGAAGAUGAGUCUUCCCGGAGGUUGAACCUCCCUCAAGAGUCGUCCGAGACCAGGACGUCGAUAGGUCAGGUGUGUAAGCGCUGUAAGGCGUUGAGCUAACUGAUACUAAUUGCUCGUGAGGCUUGAUCCU